GAUGAAGAACGGCAGCGAAAUGCGAUACGUAAUGUGAAUUGCAGAAUUCAGUGAAUCAUCGAAUCUUUGAACGCAUAUUGCGCUCUCUGGUAUUCCGGAGAGCAUGCUUGUUUGAGUAUCAGUAAACACCUCAACUUCCAUAUCUUUUUUGAAAUGGGAGUUGGACUUGAGUGAUCCCAACGCUUUUCCUCACCGAAAAGUGGCGGGUUACUUGAAAUGCAGGUGCAGCUGGACUUUUCUCUGAGCUAUAAGCAUAUCUAUUUAGUCUGCCUAAAAAACAGAUUAUUACCUUUGCUGCAGCUAACAUAAAGGAGAUUAGUUCUUGUGCUGACUGAUGCAGGAUUCACAAAGACAGGCUUCGGCCGACUUUGUAAACUCGAUCUCAAAUCAAGUAAGACUACCCGCUGAACUUAAGCAUAUCAAUAAGCGGAGGA
rnacentral:misc_RNA from 1 species